ACCUACGAAAUUAAACCUACGCCCCGACCGCCGCCCGCGGGUCGCCCGCUCCCUCGCGCCCCUGUUGCUCCCUCCUCGAUCCCGAUCUGGAUCGAGGGGACGAGGAGCUCCUGCCUCCCCGACGGCCGGCCUCCUCCUCGCCCCGCUGCUGCGUCCGGCGCCGCCACGGCCUCUAGAGCCAGGGAAGCCAUGGCCUGAGCUCGGCCUCGAGGUCCCCGCCGCCGCCUCCUGCAGCUUCUACCCCGCCGCCUCACCGGAUCCUUCGCCCUCGCAGCUGCCGCCGAUCCCCUUCCUCAAACGCCGCCGCCCGUUGCCGCCGCCCCCGCCACCUCCCGUCGCGGACAGGCGGGAGGAGCCCUGCCCGGCCUCCUCCUCCCCCUGACCUUCUCUCCCUCUCCCAAGGGAGGGAAGGGAAUGGAAGGGAUCCGGCGGCAAGGGGAGGCAGCGCCCAGAUCCGCAGCCGCACCGGCGGGCCGCCGUCCCUCGAGAUCGUCCAUGGAGGUCCGACCCGACUGCAGCCAUGGACUGAGAUGCCUGAAUCCCUAGCUACCCGUGGAGGUCCGACGCCUCAACCUCCAAGGAAAGGACGCGCGCCGCCCGUCGCGGCCGCCCCCGCCACCUCCCGUCGCGGGCAGGCGGGAGGAGCCCUGCACGGCCUCCUCCUCCCCCUCACCUUCUCUCCCUCUCCCAAGGGAGGGAAGGGAAUGGAAGGGAUCCGGCGGCAAGGGGAGGCAGCGCCCAGAUCCGCAGCCGCACCGGCGGGCCGCCGUCCCUCGAGAUCGUCCAUGGAGGUCCGACCCGGCUGCAGCCAUGGACUGAGACGCCCGAAUCCCUAGCUACCCGUGGAGGUCCGACGCCUCGACCUCCGAGGAAAGGACACGCGCCGGCUGCAGGCCAUCUCCGGCGACCUCCGACCAUGGUUGCUCAGAUCUGGACCAGCUGCUCCUCCUACUGCUUCAGGUGGACGAGGACGAGCCCUCCAUCAUCGCUGCUGCGGCUGCCUACUCCCUCCUCCUACCUCCUGGCCUGGUGUGCAUGGUCAUCCCGGCUUCAGAAAGUACAUCAACUUAUGCAACAUCUGUACCUACUACAGAUCUUACGAGUAUUGAUCAGCUUCUCGAAACAAGUGGUGGAGUUAAUGAGCCGGGAUGAAGUUCGAGAAGUUGCAUUACACCGUGUAAAUAUUAAUGAGCUGUGGAAGACAAGUGCACCGAUAUAGUUGUUAGAGAAAUAAGAAGAUGAUGAAGAGUGAUUUAUGGGUAAAUAAUAUAGCGAAUAGAUUUGCACGGGAAGUCAAGUAUAUGCCCAGACUCGAGCAGGUUCAUUGUUAUUGUUGUUCUUGCGUGUCAAAGCUUUUGGCUAGAUCUGUAGAUGCUAUCUUGCGUACGACUGAGCAGUCUCGGAUAUACUUCAACCCAGACAUCAACGCAACAAAUAACUUGAUUAUAAGGAACAAAUGUCAUGUGAAGCAAAUAAUUUCCUUAGAAAAAAGAGGGCCAAGAAAAAGACGCAAAAGCAUAGCUUGCUCCUUGAUUCCAGUUUCUGUAGCCACCAUUGAUAAGCAUGGGACUGAGCAAAUGAGUAUCAAAAGGAAGUCAAGGAAGCUUCGUCCUCUGGGUUGCUUGCGAUGUAGUUCUCCAGCAGCUUCAGUGCCAAGUUGUAAACUUAUGCAUUUGGGGCUAUUAAAGGGAGGCAAUUGACGUGCAUGUCAAGAGGAGUUAUUCUGUGGCAACCCACAGGUAUUUAGCUAGAUCAUCUUACUCGGAUACUAAUAUAUAUUAUUGUUGUCUUCACCCAGUUCUUGUUUUGGUGCCUUAAAAAUCAUCUUAAUCAGAUACUAAUAUCACUUAUGCAAGAGUCAUGUUUGAUCAUUAAAAGAAUUGGCCACGGAUCCCCACGGACGCCGCCGCUGCUGUGGAUCCCCACGGACGACGCAGACGCCACCGAACAGAGCAGGGCGUGGUCGUGUUGCACUGAUUGGAGGAGACCGUGCCGGCCGUGCCCUGUUUGGAGGAUGAACACAGGUUCACCGCCAUGGCUAUGAGAGGACGCAUUUGUGGAAUCCCCUGCACGCAACGGACGGAUCGAUUGUUUGAACGGGCGCAAGGAAAGAGAUCUGGGCCUGCUUGAGGGGGUGAGCUGACAUGGGAGACCCGAGCUGCUGUUCAUUUCUUGCUGCUGCUAUAUUGACCUCUACUUGAAGUCAGGAGCCAAAUUGAAGAUCAAAUUCAGGUUAGUAAAAAAGGGCAGUCUUUUUGUUAUUGGUGUACCAUUUUGUAUAUUGUCAACUGUACGCUCCUUGCGAUACUAAAAACUAUAUGUAAUGUAGGGAUUUGUUUCACCAUCAUCAGAAAAACUCCUAGACAUGCCUCCUAAAAGACUUGUCUUUUAUGAUAGUUCUGGAUCUGAAUGAGACCCUUUUAUACUCAGAUUGGAAGGUGAUCUUGUAUUUUCUGCGAAGUUUAGAAUCUCGUUGUUUGCUAUGCCUGCCGGCUGCCGCUCAUGUACUGCACAUGCAGUGUGAGUAAAUCUCUUAAUAUAUCACACAUUUGCACUUCAAAUUUACUAAAACAACCUGUAUAACUGAAACUCAAAAGUGCUCAUGCUUAAAAUAUGUACAUCCAAUGGGGAUAGAUGCUUGAUUUUGUGUCCAUAUGAGCCUUCCUAUUCGUUUUAUAGCAUGUAGGCUUUAUUUAUUGGCCCAGCUCCCCAGGUGCUAAAUAUUGGUUGAUCAAGAAUUUAUAAUAAAAAAUUCCAUAUAUCUCUACUAUUAAAGGGGAGUACAUUGUCGUUUGGUGUCGUUAGCCUCCCUCACCCCAUCGAUCGACAGGGCAUCGCAUGCCCAACUCGGCGUCUCCUAUAAAUCAGGGAACUCAGGAGCCACCGCGCGCAUCCGUGCCAGAUCCGGCAGGCGGCGCGUGCAUUCAUGCUCGAUCCGGGCGCCACGGUUGAGGCUUGGUGGACGAGCAUGUGGCAGUUGCUUGGUUGUGGAGGAGGGGAAGGGAGUACGGGAUGGCCCCGUUCUUUUUUUUCUGCCCGUUCUGGAUGGUAGGGGGAUGGAUCACGGGCGGAUGGAGGUCUAGGGAGCACGGGGCGGCAACUUCACCCUUGCCACGGUCAGGGAAGAGGAAGGGAGCCUGCGCUCUCUAUGCGGCUUCAUAAGUGUGGCUGGAGCACGGACGUUGCGACGAGGGUGCGGGUGGAGCACGGCCAUCCGUUGAUAGGAGGGAGCUGGGGGAGGGGUGACGCAAGCCACUUGUGGGAGAUGGAUGUAGAAGAGGAGGAGCAGCGCUGGGUGGCAGUGGCGGAGCGUGGCAAGCAAUCAAGGGGGGAGGGGCAAAUUUUCAACUCAAAGCAAAUUUUUAAUUCAAAAUAGCCUAGAAGUAAAAUUACACUGUAAUCGAACAUAUCUUGCUCCUUCCAUCCUUUGGCAGCUUGGCUCAUCAACGGCCGUCAGCUCAUCGUCUUGGCGAUUGCGCGCAUAGCACGAGAUGGUCCGUGUAGGCGCAGCAGCAAGCAGGGGGCGAAUCGACCUAAUGCCAACAUAUGCAGCAGGCAGCCACCAGCCGGGUGAAUCCAUCUAAUGUAGCAGUAAGCAAGCAUUAUGUGCACAUGCAGCAGGAAGCUGCUCGUACAACAUUCAAUCAAGUGCAUGGAGUAGCUAGCUAGCUUCACACAUGAAUAUGCAUGUGUGUAUCCUUCGAGGGUAUUCAUCUAAUAAUAAUGGGGUUGGGAGGAGUAUUAUUCACUAAUGGGUUGGAUCAAACACUUAGUAUGUAUAGUAGUAAUUUUUUGCUUGCAGUUUUGGAAGGCAGGGUCAUGAUCUGUUUGGCCUCUAUGAGGCUCCGCCAGUGCUGGAUGGUGAGGAGUGGUGAUGUGUAGAGAAGAGAAGGGGCACCUUGCUUGAGAUAUCUCGAUGGGGAUUGGGUGCUGUUGCUACUGCUUUUUUUUCUGAACGAGAUGUGGCGGCACCGAUAUGGUCUGAGCAGGGGAGCACGGCAAAAAUGCUAAUUGCUCCCUGACUCUCUUUCGUUUGAUUGCAGAAUAUUGUGCUUACUCCCAUCUCUCGCGCUCUUGCAGGCUUUCAAAAGUGAGGCUGGGGCGCCGAGGUGAGGCCAAAUUGGCGUGUGAAUGUAAGGAUUGAAAUGAGAUAGUUAUCUUCUUUCAGUUGUUUGCUUCUGCUUAUUGAUAGAGAUAAUUAUUCCCUAUUUAGUAGAGAUGCUGUCACAUUAAUAUUGGAAAUUAUAUAUGGUUCAUUUGGUGUUCAUAUCUCCAUCCUAGCGACCGCUUUGUCCAUGGCGUUUUUACCGCAUCCACCCAGGUUAGUAUGAAACAAGAACGCACAUCUAUGUUGUAUUUGCUGCCGUAUGUUGUUUGCAUCAAAAAUGUUCUUUGCAUGGUGAACACGACAGCAAUUCAUUCUUCGAAGAAGUGAAGCGAUAUAAAAAAUGUGCAUCGGCGGCCGUCGAGUGAUCACCCGUCAUUUUCAAUAGUCCUCUUAGUUAUGUACUAGCACAGAUGUUGCGUACAAAAGUAGGAGCAGUCAAGUUGUUUUUUCUCUGACAUGGAGGCAAGCUGGCCUUGUUGUGCUAUGCUCAUCUCAAAUUUUAUGCUACGUCUACUUAUUUUAGCUAAACGUAGGUUUUGGCAGCAAGAAACACUUGCAAAUGUAUGUCUUCUGGAUAUAAGUAUCUGUUCUAGAAGAUAAAUAUAGAUAGCCGUCACAAUAACCGGAGAUAUAAAUAUUUGCACUAGAAGAUAGAUAUUUAUAGUGGUCACAAUAACUGAAUCUGUUGUGUACUAUAAUAUUUUUAUUCAGAAGAAGACAUGAUUAUAUGUUUUUAUGUAGUUUUA